GCAUGGAUCUCCGCAGGUUUGAAACCCGGAAUGCAAAAUAAGAGGCUUGGAGGGAAAAGCAACACAUAAUCUGGUGCUCUUAUUUGUGGGUGGUGGGUGACACAAAGGCUCCUUCCUUCUCUGGGAAUUUUGGGUACGGUGUUACCUGUCCCUCCCAGGUCCUCCACUGUCUCAGGAGUGAUGGACACUUUCACUUCUCCCCAGGGCUGUUCCUGUGGCUGUUAAGGUCACAUUCUGGCUCUCCACAAGAAUGCGUCCAUUGGAAUAGACGUCCUCAAUCUUCCUGUCCAUGAGAAGCAGAAAGUGAUGAUGGACAACUCAGACCCCGUGGAAAGAAGGGCUGAAAAGAACACGGUUUUCCAAACAUCUACACUGAGGUGUGUGUGUGCGCACUUGGCAGGUUUUACGACAGAAAAUUAAGCAUUUCUAAGUUUCUCCACCUAAUGUCUUGGAAAACUUGGAAACUUUUCUCUUGAUAUUUGGAUAUGUAAAUAAAAGUCCUUCAUCAUGUUCUAGCCUCAA